UACGGAGGGGGCGAGCGUUAUUCGGAAUUAUUGGGCGUAAAGGGCGCGUAGGCGGCCCUGUAAGUCAAAGGUGAAAUCCCUCGGCUCAACUGAGGAACUGCCUUUGAAACUGCAGGGCUUGAGGCCGGGAGGGGGUAGCGGAAUUCCCAAUGUAGCGGUGAAAUGCGUAGAUAUUGGGAGGAAGGCCGGUGGCGAAGGCGGCUUCCUGGACCAGACCUGACGCUGAGGCGCGAAAGCGUGGGGAGCGAUCCGG
rnacentral:rRNA from 1 species